rnacentral:rRNA from 1 species
CAGGCCUAACACAUGCAAGUCGAGCGGACUUAUCCUUCGGGAUAGGUUAGCGGCGGACGGGUGAGUAACACGUAGGCAACCUGCCUGUAAGAUCGGGAUAACUACCGGAAACGGUAGCUAAGACCGGAUAGCUGGUUUCUCCGCAUGGGGAAUCAUGAAACAUGGGGCAACCUGUGGCUUACGGAUGGGCCUGCGGCGCAUUAGCUAGUUGGUGGGGUAAUGGCCCACCAAGGCGACGAUGCGUAGCCGACCUGAGAGGGUGAUCGGCCACACUGGGACUGAGACACGGCCCAGACUCCUACGGGAGGCAGCAGUAGGGAAUCUUCCGCAAUGGGCGCAAGCCUGACGGAGCAACGCCGCGUGAGUGAUGAAGGUUUUCGGAUCGUAAAGCUCUGUUGCCAAGGAAGAACGCCUCGGAGAGUAACUGCUCUGAGGGUGACGGUACUUGAGAAGAAAGCCCCGGCUAACUACGUGCCAGCAGCCGCGGUAAUACGUAGGGGGCAAGCGUUGUCCGGAAUUAUUGGGCGUAAAGCGCGCGCAGGCGGUCUUUUAAGUUUGGUGUUUAAGCCCGGGGCUCAACCCCGGUUCGCACUGAAAACUGGGAGACUUGAGUGCAGGAGAGGAAAGCGGAAUUCCACGUGUAGCGGUGAAAUGCGUAGAGAUGUGGAGGAACACCAGUGGCGAAGGCGGCUUUCUGGACUGUAACUGACGCUGAGGCGCGAAAGCGUGGGGAGCAAACAGGAUUAGAUA